GACGAACGCUGGCGGCGUGCUUAACACAUGCAAGUCGAAUGAGACGAUUGAAAGCUUGCUUUUAAAAGUCGAGUGGCAAACGGGUGAGUAACGCGUAGACAACCUGCCUUUGAGAUGGGGACAACAGUUCGAAAGGACUGCUAAUACCGAAUGUUGUAUAUUUUCCACAUGGAAGAUAUAUUAAAGAUGGCCUCUAUUUAUAAGCUAUCGCUCAAAGAUGGGUCUGCGUCUGAUUAGCUAGUUGGUGGGGUAACGGCCUACCAAGGCGACGAACAGUAGCCGGUCUGAGAGGAUGAACGGCCACAUUGGGACUGAGACACGGCCCAGACUCCUACGGGAGGCAGCAGUGGGGAAUCUUCCACAAUGGACGAAAGUCUGAUGGAGCAACGCCGCGUGAGUGAAGAAGGGUUUCGGCUCGUAAAGCUCUGUUGUCGGGGACGAAUGUGCAGUAUUUGAAUAAAGUACUGCAAUGACGGUACCUGACGAGGAAGCCACGGCUAACUACGUGCCAGCAGCCGCAGUAA
rnacentral:rRNA from 1 species